rnacentral:rRNA from 1 species
CCUACGGGUGGCAGCAGUGGGGAAUAUUGGGCAAUGGGCGCAAGCCUGACCCAGCAACGCCGCGUGAAGGAAGAAGGCUUUCGGGUUGUAAACUUCUUUUCUGAGGGACGAAGAAAGUGACGGUACCUCAGGACUAAGCCACGGCUAAAUACGUGCCAGCAGCCGCGGUAAUACGUAGGUGGCAAGCGUAAUCCGGAUUUAUGGGGUGUAAAGGGCGGGGAGGCGGGAAAGCAAGGCAGAUGGGAAAACUCAGGGCUCAACCCUUAGCCUGCAUUUGAAACUGUUUUUCUUGAGUGCUGGAGGGGCAAUCGGAAUUCCGUGUGUAGCGGUGAAAUGCGUAGAGAUACGGAGGAACACCAGUGGCGAAGGCGGAUUGCUGGACAGUAACUGACGCUGAGGCGCGAAAGCGUGGGGAGCAAACAGGAUUAGAUACCCGGGUAGUC